UACGGAGGGGGCGAGCGUUGUUCGGAGUUACUGGGCGUAAAGCGCACGUAGGCGGUGCGGUAAGUCAGGGGUUAAAGGCUGCAGCUCAACUGCAGUAAGGCCUUUGAUACUAUCGUGCUAGAGUGUCAGAGAGGAUGGCGGAAUUCCCGGUGUAGCGGUGAAAUGCGUAGAUAUCGGGAGGAACAUCAGUAGCGAAGGCGGCCAUCUGGCUGAUAACUGACGCUGAGGUGCGAGAGCGUGGGGAGCAAACAGG
rnacentral:rRNA from 1 species